rnacentral:rRNA from 1 species
GACGGAGGAUGCAAGCGUUAUCCGGAAUGAUUGGGCGUAAAGCGUCCGCAGGUGGCAGUUCAAGUCUGCUGUCAAAGGUUGGGGCUUAACCCCAAAAAGGCAGUGGAAACUGAGAAGCUAGAGUGCAGUAGGGGUAGAGGGAAUUCCCGGUGUAGCGGUGAAAUGCGUAGAGAUCGGGAAGAACAUCGGUGGCGAAAGCGCUCUACUGGACUGCAACUGACACUCAGGGACGAAAGCUAGGGGAGCGAAUGGG